GAUGAACGCUAGCGGGAGGCUUAACACAUGCAAGUCGAGGGGCAGCACGAGGUAGCAAUACUUUGGUGGCGACCGGCGCACGGGUGAGUAACGCGUAUGCAACCUACCCUGUACAGGGGGAUAACCCGGAGAAAUUCGGACUAAUACCCCAUAAAGAUAUUUUGAGGCAUCUUAAGAUAUUUAAAGUUCCGGCGGUACGGGAUGGGCAUGCGUAACAUUAGCUAGUUGGUAAGGCAACGGCUUACCAAGGCAACGAUGUUUAGGGGUCCUGAGAGGGUGAUCCCCAACACUGGUACUGAGACACGGACCAGACUCCUACGGGAGGCAGCAGUGAGGAAUAUUGGUCAAUGGGCGCAAGCCUGAACCAGCCAUCCCGCGUGAAGGAAGAAUGCGCUAUGCGUUGUAAACUUCUUUUCCAGGGGAAUAAAAUUUUGUACGAGUACGGAAUUGAAGGUACCCUGGGAAUAAGCAUCGGCUAACUCCGUGCCAGCAGCCGCCGUAACAC
rnacentral:rRNA from 1 species